GACCACGUGGCCUAAUGGACCAGGCGUCUGACUCGAUCAGAAGAUUGAGGUUCGAGUCCCUUCGUGUUGA
rnacentral:tRNA from 1 species